rnacentral:rRNA from 1 species
CACGUAGGGGGCGAGCGUUGUCCGGAAUCAUUGGGCGUAAAGAGCUCGUAGGCGGCUCGGUAAGUCGGGCGUGAAAUGCCGGGGCUCAACCCCGGGACUGCGUCCGAUACUUCCGAGCUGGAGGUAGGUAGGGGAGAUCGGAAUUCCUGGUGUAGGCGGUGAAAUGCGCAGGUAUCAGGAGGAACACCGGUGGCGAAGGCGGGAUCUCUGGGCCUUACCUGACGCUGAGGCGCGAAAGCUAGGGGAGCGAACAGG